GGAUUAGAUACCCUGGUAGUCCACGCCCUAAACGAUGAACACUUUGUGAGGCGGGUAUCGACCCCUGCCGCGCAGGAGCUAACGCAUUAAGUGAUCCACCUGGGGAGUACGUUCGCAAGAAUGAAACUCAAAGGAAUUGACGGGGGCCCGCACAAGCGGUGGAGUAUGUGGUUUAAUUCGACGCAACGCGAAGAACCUUACCUGGCCUUGACAUCCUUGGAAUCCCUUAGAAAUUUGGGAGUGCCUCCUCACGGAGGAGCCAAGUGACAGGUGCUGCAUGGCUGUCGUCAGCUCGUGUCG
rnacentral:rRNA from 1 species